GCGCACCAGGCGCGAAUUUUCUCAAUGGGCGCAAGCCUGAAGGAGCGACGCCGCGUGGGGGAUGAAGGGUUUCGAUCCGUAAACCCCUGUCAUUUGCGAACAAACCCUGUGGUUUAAGAGGCGACAGGUUGAUUGUAGCGAAAGAGGAAGGGACGGCUAAACUCUGUGCCAGCAGCCGCGGUAAUACAGAGGUCCCAAGCGUUGUUCGGAUUCACUGGGCGUAAAGGGUGCGUAGGUGGCUGGGUAAGUUUGAUGUGAAAUCUCCGGGCUUAACCCGGAAAUGGCAUUGAAUACUAUCUGGCUGGAGGUUUGGAGGGGGGACUGGAAUUCUCGGUGUAGCAGUGAAAUGCGUAGAUAUCGAGAGGAACACCAGUGGCGAAGGCGAGUCCCUGGACAACACCUGACACUGAGGCACGAAAGCUAGGGGAGCAAAACAGGAUUAGAUA
rnacentral:rRNA from 1 species